rnacentral:rRNA from 1 species
GACGAACGCUGGCGGCGUGCUUAACACAUGCAAGUCGAACGGAAAGGCCCCUUUGGGGGUACUCGAGUGGCGAACGGGUGAGUAACACGUGAGUAACCUGCCCUUGACUUCGGGAUAACUUCAGGAAACUGGGGCUAAUACCGGAUAGGAAUCCUUGCUGCAUGGUGGGGGUUGGAAAGCUUCGGCGGUUUUGGAUGGACUCGCGGCUUAUCAGCUUGUUGGUGGGGUAGUGGCUUACCAAGGCUUUGACGGGUAGCCGGCCUGAGAGGGCGACCGGCCACAUUGGGACUGAGAGACGGCCCAGACUCCUACGGGAGGCAGCAGUGGGGAAUAUUGCACAAUGGGGGAAAGCCUGAUGCAGCAACGCCGCGUGCGGGAUGACGGCCUUCGGGUUGUAAACCGCUUUCAGCAGGGGCGAAGCUUGUGGUGACGGUACCUGCAGAAGAAGCACCGGCUAACUACGUG